rnacentral:lncRNA from 1 species
AAAGGUCCAGUGCAUACUUGUCUUCCUUCCUUUGCAGUCUGUGCAUAUGCUAGUCUGAAAGCAGUAAUCCACUUUACCAAAUCAAGUUAUUUUUAAAAAAUUUUCUGGGAACUGAAGCUGCUGUACCUUUUUCUAAGGUUUCUAAAUAAUAAACAUUUGAAUUUGGUUCUGUGAAAUGAAAUUAUUCUGUUGAGGAGGACGGUUGCUGGUUUGUUCCAGUCUACAGCUGAGAGAGGCUUUCCCACUCAAUCUCUUCUUUUAUGCCAUUUCUUGGAUUUGCAGGUCUCUCUUCUGUCUCCCACUCUUCAAACUUUCUGGACCUCUACACUCUACUUGGUAUUUUCUCAAUUGUUUGUGUGUUAAUGCUGCCGAGAGGGAAAAAUUCCUAAAAGAAGGAGAGGCAAUUUGACUGUGCUGUUUUGUGCUUGCACCUGGGUGACUGGUGGCUACUCAGACUGCGUAGUUCUCUGUUUUUCUCUUAGAUGAUGGAUCUUACAAAAAGUAGAUUGGAUUCUGAGAACACUGAUCUCUUCACCCUUGUUACACAAACUCUAAAGGAUUUCUCUUUUCCCCCUAAGUGUCUGGCUUCAUGAACAGAUUACCUACCUGUUUAUCACAGACUCAUUCUCAGGAUGUGACAAAUUUCAGUGCAUCACCACUUCCUAUUAAGCAAUAUUAUUAGCAAUAUUAUCAAUAUUUAGAAAAAGCUUGUAGGAAUUUUCCAUUGCUUUGUGGCAAAAUGAUUAUUUUCAGCAUGUCUGGCAGACUUACUGCAGAUGCCUUCCUGAUAUCUGUUUCUUUAAGGAAUUAAAGGAAUGGUUUUGAUAUCUCAGGUCUAGGUAAUAUAUGCAUAAGGUAAUGUAUACAUUAAGUUACUGGUGUUUUUUUUUUUUUCCAAUCUGAGUACCAAUUAUUGUUAUCCCAAAUGUAAAAUUAAUGGAGCAGUUACAGAGUUUUCUAAUGACAUGUUAAGUAUCUAAAAGCCCUAGUUAUAGGUCUUGUAUUAUGUAUUAUGACUUUGGUAACUUCUCCAUUCCUGUCAGUGAAAAGUAGUGUUCUUAAGCACAGUGUAUCCGUUCUUGUUAAUUGGUGUCAUCUAUUUUAGUCUGUAGUAGGGGUGGUGGUGGUUUUGUUUUUUUUUUUAAUCCUUUGUUCCUAUGUACUAUUUGAACCUUUACCUCUGUACGUAGAUUGAGGAAAAAUCAUGAAACCAGCACUAUCUCAGGGAUCUCCUUUCUUCUAUGGUUGUGUGCAGCUCAUUUGUUCUAGCAAAAAAGGUAUAGGAGUAAUUUAUAUUGUUGGGUCAGUUAAACACAUUUGGGAGGCUGAAAAAAUGGUGUUGAAGAACAUUGGUUUGUGAGUAUUUACCAAAGGGAUGAAAACGGUCCAUGUGCUUCAAGCAGAGUUGGUUACACUCACAGUUAAUUGUGACUAGCUAGAGAAGGCAGAUGGGCCUCAUGAUCUGUGUGUUCUAUUCCUUUGUCUUUCCUUUUUUCAGAGACUCAGGAAUGCUUCCUGGUGUAGUGUCUUUCUGUGUACGUGUGCCUGGUUACUGCAGUAUGGUUGCCAACUUGAUAAAGAGGUUGAGAGCUCAGCAGGCAAAAAGACCAUUUUGAGAUUCUUUUGCCAGAAGGGAUAGACAGAAGCAGGAACAUCAAAUUUUUGUAGUUUCUGUUGAUUGGAUUCCUAUAGUAGUAUUUUCUAAGACAUGCUAAAGGGAAAGCAGCAGGAGGAUGUCUGUUUCUAAGCAUGCGUAAAUAUGCAUAUCACAGGAUACUGAAAGCUACUUCUAAUCUAUUUUAUUUCCUGAUGUUACAUUGUAAUUAAAGCAAGCUGG